rnacentral:tRNA from 2 species
AAGUGAGAAGUAAAAAUUACAUUUAGUUUCGACCUAAAAAUCUGAUGUCCUAACAUCCUCACUUG